AAGCGCCAAGAACCAGAACCAGAACAGCCACCCAGACCAGAGCCCCAUGAAUUAGGUCCCCUCAAUGGGGACACAGCUAUAACUGUCCAGCUCUGUGCCUCAGAGGAGGCUGAGCGGCACCAGAAGGAUAUAACCAGAAUUCUCCAGCAACAUGAGGAGGAAAAGAAGAAAUGGGCACAACAGGUGGAGAAGGAAAGGGAGCUAGAGCUUCGAGACAGACUGGAUGAGCAGCAAAGGGUCCUGGAAGGAAAGAAUGAAGAGGCCCUGCAAGGUAAGGGUAGAGAUGUUCCACUGGCCAAGGUGUGGGGGGUGCUUCCUUCUGGCCCCACCUGCCCAGUUCACCUGGGCACUCCCACUGUUCCCUCCCUGCCUGUCUGAUCCACAAGCAAUUGACUCAAAUCUACAGGAUCCUUGGCCCUAGAGGG
rnacentral:sRNA from 1 species